UUGGAGGGCAAGUCUGGUGCCAGCAGCCGCGGUAAUUCCAGCUCCAAUAGCGUAUAUUAAAGUUGUUGCAGUUAAAAAGCUCGUAGUUGAAUUUCGGGAUCAAUAUAACGGUCAUGCCGUUGGUAUGCACUGUUAUAAUUGAUUUCUCACCUUCUAAAGAACCGUAAUGCCAUUAAUUUGGUGUCACAGGGGAAUUAGGACCUGUUACCUUGAAAAAAUUAGAGUGUUUAAAGCAGGCUCACAGGCUUGAAUACAUUACCAUGGAAUAAUGAAAUAGGACAUCCGAUUCUAUUUUGGUGGUUUCUAGGAUCGCUGUAAUGAUUAAUAGGGAUAGUUGGGGGCAUUAGUAUUCAAUUGUCAGGUGAAAUUCUUGGAUUUAUUGAAGACUAACUACUGCGAAAGCAUUUGCCAAGGAUGUUUUCAUUAAUCAAGAACGAAAGUUAGGGGAUCGAAGACGAUCAGAUACCGUCGUAGUCUUAACCAUAAACUAUGCCGACUAGGGAUCGGAUGAUGUUAAUUUUUUUAAUGACUCAUUCGGCGCCUUACGGGAAAC
rnacentral:rRNA from 1 species